GGUCAGGCAUGCACGCCCGACGAGUGUCCUCGGGCUUGUGCGCUGUAAGGUUGCUAUCCUUCUCCCUUGGUCGAUAGGAAGGAUCUGCCGCUAUAUAAUCGGCCGGUUGCAUGCAACAUCUUACAUCGCGGAUUAUAUCGGAGUUUGUGUCUCGUGGCCGGGGCGUGUUCGCAGGAGGUUUUGGCAGCGGUGCUCUGGUCUGCCCGUGGAGGAUUUGGCGGCGGUGUUUUGUUGUGUGUCGAUCUGGUGGAUGGGUUUCUUCUCCUGCUCGAUCUGCGCUUGAUUUGGUCGUUCUCUCCGUGGUGGUUGGAUUUAGCGGCGGUUUCGAUACGUGGCUGCCCGGUGGAUUUUGAUUCUGUUAGCUGUGGUGGUCGAGAUUUCACAUAUCGCUUCUUUCUGUGGCUGGGCGGCCGGCAGGUGCGGAGGUGAAGUUUGGAGUUAAUGUUUUUUCGAUUUCGUUCCUGUUCUUGUAGCUUGUUUCUUCCCGUCGGGUUUCCCUUUUAUUCUCGGUAGCGCCGUAGCGGCUCGUGCUCGGGGUUGCCGUCUUCGGGGGAUCCGCGGAGCCACCGCUUGCUGCUCUCUAGCGGGGCGGUUGGGUGGGGAUUCCGGUGGGGGUUCCUAGAUGCUCUGCGUUACCGUCUCCAGCGAAGCACAGCCUUGUUGCUUGUGAUUUUUCUGCGGAGCUGCGGCGGGGCGGGAUUGCAUUGGGUUGUGUGGUUCGCAGCUUCCUUCCUCUCCUGGUCUCCUUCGGCGGUUCUGUUUCUUGGGUUUGAUUAAAUAUUUUUAUAUCUAUAAACUGGUUCAGACAAAUGAUCUUUCACCUCACACGAGAGACAACUUUUAGUUCUUUGAUUAAAUAUUUGUAUAUCUAUAAACUGUAGUAUCAAAUUUAUUUGCAGUUCAAGCAUUCCCUACAAGGCCCGAGUAUGCACUCUUCCAGGAUUUAUUUGCUACGUACUGCAGUAGCUUAAAUCUUGUGAUUGAGUACAUCUGUUAUGACUGUGUGGGUCAAGCUUCAACUAGAUUAUGCCGCUAAUAUGUAGAAAGAAGCCAUAACAAACGGCUUGGAACUAAGGUUUGUUUCAAUGGUCAUUGAUUUGUAAUACCUGAGCUGUGUAAUAACUCCAUUGAUUGUUCUUCAGCACAGGAUGAGUCUUCUAUCGUCCAAAUCGUACCUGCCCCCUACUGUGUUAGUUUAAUUCAUAGUUCUAUUUUUUUGUCUGGUUAGUGCUUACUUCAUGAUUGUUCUGCAGCACACGAUGAGUCUUCUGUCGUCUAAGGUAGGUACCUGUCCCUACUUUGUUAGUUUAAUUCAUCUAGCUGACUUAUCAAUUUGUGGGAACGAGCACCUGUAUAACCAAAUCCUACUCUAGUAUCCUUGGAUACUGUGGCAUUUGAUUAAUUUGGACCUUUAAAGUUGAGAACUGACAUCCUAUUUAAAACGCAAGGAUCUCAAUCCAGCAGACUGGGUUAUGAAAUGCAACUUUGCAAUAAAAAUAAAUAAGAAUACAAAUUGAUCUACAUAGCCAGCUUGUUUGGGAAUACUUCACUUGUGCAAGUCUCUAAUUUACUGAACAAAAGGGGUAUAGGUUAGAAAGACUUGUGUGCUAGAUGGUUCUCUCUAGGAAAUCUAUUCGGUGACACUAUGCCGACCAUCAAUGUAUAGAGAAAUUGGAGCUUGGAAGUGAUUUUGUUGCAUAUUCAGUUUGUUUUGACAUAGUUGCUGUGCUAUAUCUGUGUUCUGAAUAUAGUCUUGUAAUGAGCCUCUCUCAGGGUCUCCAUCUGGCUGAAUGACAUUCUACAAGGUGCUAAUAAUUCCGGAAAAAGAAUAAUUGGAUCUAUACUGAUGGACAGUCAGCAUCUUACAAGGAGGUUGGACUCUUUGGCCCAAUGUCCAGCUUUGUAGAAGUCACUAUCAUGAAUUCUUAUGCUUAGGCUGAGUCCUCUAUGAGUUCACAGAAGGUCCUUUAUGAACUCGAGCGUCAGAUUGCAUGAUUCGGGCAAUGUCAGAUUCCAGCCGGCCGCCCUUUGCAUCUGAGAAGUCAUAUUCCUUCAAAAAUAUUGCUGCUCCCAGUUUUCUUCGCUAACAUUUUCCAUACUUUGAUAGGAUAAGGCUGGCAGUACUUAAUGAUAGAGGAUUAAGAAAGGAGAAGAAGGUUGAAUGGUUCGGCCUUAAUUUUUUAAAUUAUUUCAGAAUUUCAGAAUUUCAGAAUUAUGGCAUUAAUUCUCUCUUUAGUUUCUUAUCUUAAGCAACAUCUUUUCCCCAAAUCUGUGGAUUGCACAAAUUUAGUUCUUUCAGCUUAUCUAGAACUAUGCAAUGUUCUUAUGCAUAUUUAGGGCUGGAGCUUUUGUGUGAUAUGUCCUCAGAGAUAUCUAUUUAGUGUUCGUUAGGAAGUCUUGACUCUUUUAUUUGCCAUGCACCCACUGACAUAGACAAACACAAGUAUAAGUGCAUUAAGUUGAAUAAUUUAUUUUGUACUGAUAGACAUGUCAUUUUAAUGGCAAAUUCGUUGAAUUUUCAUUCAAGAGAGAUCGCCCUCUUUUAGUUAUUAUAGCGUGUUGUCAGUUUGUCAUGUCCAUUCAGUUCUCUAUAGGCAGAUGCUGGAGUGUAGAACUCAUAUUAUGCAAUGCUAAGGUGCUAAUUACUUUUUUUUUUAAAAGAGAGAGAACUGAGAGUAGCCAUUGUCUUCGAUUUUCCUACCCAGAUUUGGCACCUUUUUAAAUGCAUGUAUGCCCAAUUUGAUGGUGUGUGUGUGAUUCCGAACGCUGAGCCACAAAGAGAGGAACUGUAAUGGUGACAAGGCCUGCUUCAGAAACUGGGCUUUGGGUCUUUUUUUCUCAAGUUUGGACACUCUUCUGCCUUCAGCUAUGUCAUAUGAGGCACACAAAUAAAUAUUCAUGCGGACUUGCUUGUGAUAUGUUCAGUUGUAUUCUGAUCCACGUUAUUGAAUUUUGUCAAAAUAAUGCAUGCUCUUGGCCUUCUGAUCGAAUGAACAUCAACAUGCUUCAAUAUCCCCUGCACAACUACAUGGUAAGCUCGUACUUAUUAUUAUGAAAGGAACCAGGAACAAAUAAAGUAAGCAACAAUUUCUCUAUUUACUUUUCCUUUUGUUGUAGAUUCAUUCUCAACGGGAGAUCCCUAUGAUUUUCUUGGAAUAAGUUUUUCCCUCAUUUGAGUCAUGCCUUUUCCCUGAUGUGUUGAUGAAUACCUGGGUUAGGCUGAGCGGGACAAAAAUGUCAUGUUCAGCUUUGACACAGUGUUCUGAUGUCUAUAAUUUCGUUGCAGUCCCAUUGUUGUAGAUAUUGAUUCCUUCGGUUUCUUUCUAAAUUUGUUCAUAAGUUAGUCAAAGCUUUUGUUAUUACCAAUUGAGUGACUACUCUGGGGACAGAUGUUGUCAAUUGAAAAUGGAUGAUGAUUAGUUAUGGCCAGUGUUCUAUAUUUGAUACUCAUUUGCUGCUCUGGUUACUGACUGAGUAUAGAGAAGCUAUCCCAAGGUUCCUGCAUAUAUGAUCUGAAUAAUACAAAUUAUGCAUUAGCUUUCUUAUUGGUGCAGGCAGCGAGACCAACCAACCAUGCCAUAAUGCUUUGUCAGGUCUCUACAGGAUAUUGAGAACUCAAGUGACCAGAAAGCCCCCUACAGGACCGUACACAUAAUGGAACUGAAGAUAUCAACAGGUAUGCCUAAAAAAAUCCUCCAUACAUAAGAGGCUAGCCAGUUAGCCAUUGGACCGAAGUGUCACCACGAGUGUCGUAUUGGACUUUUUUUCCCUGGUAAAGCACACUGAUAAGUAGGAGUAGAGAUCACCGAGUGCAAACUGUGGUUUCUUAAAUUUAGACACUCGAACCAAAAAAAUGAUAUAUGAAUAUACCAUGAACCUUAGGAAAGUUAUUGUGAGAUGUCUGACACUUCUGAUGUGUUGCAUGUAGCACGAGUAAAAGGUUAUUGGAAAGGUGAGGUUUCCCAUCGUAAAUACGGAGUACCAAUUUAAUUGUAUGGCCUAGAACGACUGUGAUCAUCAAUUGUUAAACAAAAAUUUGUCAAUAUUUCUGUUACACGGUAUUGAACCAGGUGCCAAGAGGUUUUUUUGUUUCAAACCAAAAAGAAUUCAUUCAGGGGAAAGGUCAGUGUGCUCUCGUUACGGAUCUCCAGACCGUUGCAGUGGCUUUGAUUUAUUUGACAACAUGCCCAGAAGAAGUUGGCGAAAAACCACACGCUAUUAGCCAUACUGCUACACACACCAGAGAGCUUCCCUUCCAAAAGGCAAAUAUGUAUAGAGCAAACUGAUGCACUGAACUUGAGCCUUUAUGUUCAUUGCAAAAUCUUGAAUGUUAAAGUAGAGAUAUAAGUGUCCCAUAAGUUGCAUCUCAUUAUAGAUUUUCUCUGUAUUCAUUUGUUCGUGGCAAAUGUAUCAUGUGGCCUCCACAAAUGUAUGAUAUGUGUAAAUCUGUAUCAAACGUUUAUGAACAUGGAGGGAACUUAAGGAUUGUUGUAUAUAUUGCCAGCGUGGCACAAACAAA